UUUAUACUGAGAUAAAGUAUUUGUGUAAAAUUAAUGACAACGGAACAACACUGUGUGAUUGUUAAUAUUAAUAAAGUGCUCGUUUAAUUAGUAAACAAUUAAAAGGCAAUACUUAGUAUCGAGAGAGCAAAGUUACUUUAAUUUAAUUGUAUUUGGCAUAAAUUCUAGGAUGGUCAAAUAUAUGGAGAUAUCGAUAGCUACUAUAAUUCUAUUUAUAGUAAUAGACAGAAUCGGGCCAGUGGACGGUUUAAAAUGUUACAACUGUGACACGAGAAAGCCCGAUCACCGUGCUGUAUGUGGUGAACACUUCAAAUUGACGAAAUCAAACACGAGCUUUCUAUUGGACAACUGUGAAUAUUGCAGUAAAUAUCAUUUUUACAAACACUGGAGAUGUCAUCCGCAACUGUACGUUAAAGAAGGAAAAAAGUUUUACGUUUAAGUUUGGCUGCGAAAACAAGGAGGUAGGCGGUGAAACCGUGAAAAUCUGUGCUUGUGAGGAUGAGUUAUGUAAUGGCGCCAGAUCGCAUUUGACGACGAUGAUACUUGUUUAUUUGCUUGUUUGUCUUGUCAUAUUCAUUUGUCAUUUCUAACUUUGAAGUUUUCAUGUUCAUGUAUUUGAUUGAUAUUGUUAAGUUGCAGUGGCUUACAAAUGACUCCUUUAAUCAAAUAUUUAACAAUUCUAAGAAAGUUUUACAUGAUUUAUUUAUGCUUGAACUAAACAACAUUUUGACUACCGUGAGAGAGUGCAAGGGUAUUUGAUUAUGUAUGAUAUUUCAAGGAGAACACUAUAUAUUUUUUUUCCAUUUUAAAACUUCUUUUCAAUAGAUGAUGUAUAAAUACGAAUGUAUCGUAAAAAUUGAUAUGAAAAAAUAACCGCUAGUGUAAUGAAUAGAUGAGAUAGUAUUUUUAUUUUCUGUAUUAUUUGAAACAGUUACUAUACGUACAUACAAUAGGAAAAAAAUCAGAAGUGAAAUUCAGCAAUCAUGACAUGACCUGUAAUAUUACGGAAGUUAGUAUUUUCAUUGUUCAUGUAGACUGAUAUUAUUAAAGGAAUCGUCGGUAUUAGCUGUAUUGCAAAAAUUCAAUCAUUGUUUGAUCGUAUAAUUCUGUCAAAGUAUUAAAACGCGGGAUAAAGGUUUUUAAUUUCUUAUAUUCACUUCUUAUGUGAGAAGUUAUACAUGUAUUUUACUA